rnacentral:rRNA from 1 species
GAUGAACGCUGGCGGCGUGCCUAAUACCUGCAAGUCGAGCGAAGCGGGGACGGGUGUGUAACACGUGGAUAACCUCCUAUAAGACUGGGAUAACUUCGGGAAACCGGAGCUAAACCGGUUACUUAUAGAUGGAUCCGGGCUGCAUUAGCUGGUUGGUAAGGUAACGGCUUACCAAGGCAACGAUGCAUAGCCGACCGGAGCGGGUGAUCGGGCACAAUAGAACUGAGACACGGUCCAGACUCCUACGGGAGGCAGCAGUAGGGAAUGGUCCGCAAUGGGCGAAAGCCAGACAGCGCAACGCGGCGUGGGUGAUGGAGGUAUUCGGAUCGUAAGACUCUGUAAUUAGGGAAGCGGUACCUAAUCAGAAAGCCAGGGCUAACUUCGUGCCAGCAGCCGCGGUAAUAC